UUUAGGGAUUUCAUUCUCGGUGUUUAGGGUUAAGCGUUGUAAAAUCAUCGUAAACCGAUGUUUCCACGUAAUUUCGUCGUAAAUGGAAAAACGCGGGCCUGGUAACUUCGUCGUAAACGUGGGCCUUGUAAAUUCGUCGUAAACCGAUGUUUCCACGUAAUUUCUUCGUAAAUGGAAAAACGCGGGAAUGGUAACUUUGUCGUAAACGUGGGCCUUGUAAAUUCGUCGUAAACCGACAUUUCGACGUAAUUUCGUCGUAAAUUGAAAAAGCGGGCUGGUAACUUCGUCGUAAAUGAAAAAACGCGGGCCUGGUAACUUCGUCGUAAUGUUACGUCGCGUUUACGAUGAAACAUUUUUUAUAUAUUGGGACGCCGAGACGAGGCUGCCUCGUCCAUUCCUCCUAAACUCCUCUCCUCUCCCUAAGGUACAUUCUCUUCCCUCAGAGUUUAGGGGUGGAGUUUAGGGUUUUGGGUUUUGGGUUUAGAGUUAAGGGGUGGGGUUUAGGAUUUAGGGUUUAGAGUUUAGGUUUUAGGGUUUAGGGUUUAGAAUUGGGGAGUGUGGUUUUGGGAUAAGAUUUCAAAUUUUGAAAAAUAAAAAAAAUUAAAUUUUUCAAAAGAUAAAAUACUAUUUUGGUCAUUUUAGUUUUUGAGGGCUAUUUUUGUGACAUAAACUU
rnacentral:lncRNA from 1 species